ACCCUCCUCCCUUCCUGCACCCACAAGCAGGCCCUCAUUUGUGUCCUUGUGUACUCAACGUUUAGGUCUCACUUAUAAGUGAGAACAUAAGGUAUUUGAUUUUAUGUCCCAGUGUGAGUUUGCUUAGGAUUAAGGCCUCUGGCUCCAUCCACAUUUCUGCAAAGGACAUGUUCUCAUUCCUUUUUAUGGCUGCAUAGUAAUAGUAGUAUUCUAU